rnacentral:rRNA from 1 species
UACGGGGGGGGGCAAGCGUUGUUCGGAAUUACUGGGCGUAAAGGGCUUGUAGGUGGCCAACUAAGUCAGACGUGAAAUCCCUCGGCUUAACCGGGGAACUGCGUCUGAUACUGGAUGGCUUGAGUGUGGGAGAGGGAUGCGGAAUUCCUGGUGUAGCGGUGAAAUGCGCAGAUAUCAGGAGGAACACCGGUGGCGAAGGCGGAUCUCUGGGCCAUUACUGACGCUGGAGGAGCGAAAGCGUGGGGAGCGAACAGG